rnacentral:rRNA from 1 species
UACGUAGGGAGCAAGCGUUGUCCGGAAUCAUUGGGCGUAAAGCGCGCGUAGGCGGCCCUGUAAGUCCGUUGUGAAAGUCAAAGGCUCAACCUUUGAAAGCCGGUGGAUACUGUCGGGCUAGAGUCCGGAAGAGGCGAGUGGAAUUCCUGGUGUAGCGGUGGAAUGCGCAGAUAUCAGGAGGAACACCGAUAGCGAAGGCAGCUCGCUGGGACGGUACUGACGCUGAGGUGCGAAAGCGUGGGGAGCGAACAGG